rnacentral:rRNA from 1 species
AUGAACGUUGGCGGCGUGGAUUAGGCAUGCAAGUCGAGCGGGAGUAGCAAUACUCUAGCGGCGAAAGGGACAGUAAUACGUAGAUACGUACCCUCUGGACUGGGAUAGCCACGGGAAACUGUGGGUAAUACCAGAUAACGUCUCCGGACCAAAGGUGUGAGUCCGCCGGAGGAGCCGGUCUGCGUCCUAUUAGCUUGUUGGUGAGGUAAUGGCUCACCAAGGCGAUGAUGGGUAGCGGGUGUGAGAGCACGACCCGCGUCAUUGGGACUGAGAUACUGCCCAGACACCUACGGGUGGCUGCAGUCGAGGAUCUUCGGCAAUGGACGCAAGUCUGACCGAGCGACGCCGCGUGUGGGAUGAAGGCUUCGGGUUGUAAACCACUGUCAGUGGGGAGGAAAUUUAGGUGGGUACUCCCAUCUAAUUGACCUAUCCGCAGAGGAAGCAAGGGCUAAGUUCGUGCCAGCAGCCGCGGUAAGACGAACCUUGCUAACGUUAUUCGGAAUUACUGGGCUUAAAGGGUGCGUAGGCGGUGUAGCAAGUCGGGUGUGAAAUCCCUCAGCUCAACUGAGGAAUUGCGCCCGAAACUGCUGCGCUUGAGGAAUACAGAGGUGUGCGGAACUUAGGGUGGAGCGGUGAAAUGCGUUGAUAUCCUAAGGAACACCGGUGGCGAAAGCGGCACACUGGGUAUUUUCUGACGCUCAUGCAUGAAAGCUAGGGUAGCGAACGGGAUUAGAUACCCCGGUAGUCCUAGCCGUAAACUCUGAGCACUUGGUUGAAGGGUCCUCCAUAGCCUUUUAGCCGUAGCGAAAGUGUUAAGUGCUCCGCCUGGGGAGUAUGGUCGCAAGGCUGAAACUCAAAGAAAUUGACGGGGGCUCACACAAGCGGUGGAGGAUGUGGCUCAAUUCGAGGGCUACGCGAAGAACCUUAUCCUAGUCUUGACAUGCACGGAUUAACCCGGUGAAAGCCGGGCCACGCCUUCGGGUGGAACGUGCACAGGUGCUGCAUGGCUGUCGUCAGCUCGUGUCGUGAGAUGUCGCGUUAAGUCGCUUAACGAGCGAAACCCUUGUCUCCAGUUGCCAGCGGGUCAUGCCGGGGACUCUGGAGAGACUGCCGGUGUUAAACCGGAGGAAGGUGGGGAUGACGUCAAGUCCUCAUGGCCUUUAUGACUAGGGCUGCACACGUCCUACAAUGGCGCGCACAAAGGGAUGCCAAGUCGCGAGACCAAGCAAAUCCCAAAAAACGCGCCCCAGUUCGGAUUGCAGGCUGCAACCCGCCUGCAUGAAGCCGGAAUCGCUAGUAAUCGCGGAUCAGAAUGCCGCGGUGAUGUGUUCCUGAGCCUUGUACACACCGCCCGUCAAGCCACGAAAGUGGGGGGUAUCCGAAGUCGCCGAUGGAACCGCAAGGACCUAAGCGCCUAAGAUAAACUCCGCGAUUGGGACU